CAGUCGCCGCGGGAAUACGUAGGUCCCGAGCGUUAUCCGGAUUUAUUGGGCGUAAAGCGAGCGCAGGCGGUUAGAUAAGUCUGAAGUUAAAGGCUGUGGCUUAACCAUAGUACGCUUUGGAAACUGUUUAACUUGAGUGCAGAAGGGGAGAGUGGAAUUCCAUGUGUAGCGGUGAAAUGCGUAGAUAUAUGGAGGAACACCGGUGGCGAAAGCGGCUCUCUGGUCGGUAACUGACGCUGAGGCUCGAAAGCGUGGGGAGCAAACAGGAUUAGAUACCCGUGUAGUCCCUGUCUCUUAUACA
rnacentral:rRNA from 1 species